CUAAGAUGCAUGAAGGUGAUGAGAGUGUCCAUUGCGUGAAGGUACCAUAAUCACCUGAACCAGUUCCUUAGCAGAGAAUAUUUAGGCUGUUUCUGACCUUUGCUGGUAGGAACAACAAUGCAGUGACUAUCCUGGAACAAAUGCCAUUUUGCUCCUGUAUGAAAAUAUCUGCAGGGUAACUUCCUAGAAGUCCAACUGCUAAGCAAGUUGAGACGUAUGAUCAAUUCAACUCUAGACAAAUGAGCUCCCCAACUCAAAAAGUGAUGAAAAGUCGAAAGUAAAGCAUCCGCAUUAUAAAAAUGCAAACGGCACAGAAAGGGUCUUCAGAGAUGAUUAAGAUGAAGUCAUCGGGUGGGCCCUAAUCCAAUAGGACUGUGUGUUUAUAAAAUGGGGAGAUUUGGACACAGAAACACACACACACACACACUGGGAGAACGCCAUGUGAAGAUGAAGGCAGAGAUUGGACUGAUGCUUCUACAAACCAAGGAACGCCAAAGACUGCCAGCAAACCACCAGGAGCUAGGAGAGAGGCGUGGAACAAAGGCUCCCUCACAGCUGUCAAGAGAACCAGGCUGCCAACACCCUGAUCUUGGACUUCUAACCCCAGAGCUGUGAUACAACAAAUAGCUGUUGUUUAAGCCACACAGUUUGUGGUACUUUCUUGUCGCAGUCCUACAGACUAAAAUACCAGGUAGUCAAGAAGUAGAAACUCAGC
rnacentral:lncRNA from 1 species